CGCGCUGCAGAUCCCCUCGCGUCCACUAGAGGUCACUGGCCCCUCGCGGCUCGCGGCGCGACUUGCAGCUCUCGCUCCUAGAGCUCAAAUUAGCCGCGCGCGCGUUAAUUAGCACCCGAGUCCACCGAGGCGCGCUCGUCGGUACAGUACCGCAGCAGGGCUUAUAUAGACCACUCAAACCCAGCCAAGGCAAGCGUCCCCAAACCCAACACUUCCAGCUUGUCCAAAAUGGGAGACGGGAGCCCGAGUGCCCGGGGCAAGACGCCUAAAGGAUCCUGUGUGUGCUGCCGCCGCUCUGGGACUGGAUCUUGUCUCUUCUGGUUGGAGCGCCUCGAUUCCUGGCCUGCUGGAUUUGGGGGGCUGCACUGCCUGGCGCUGGGAGAUCAAAUGAGACUGCACAGAAGCAUAAAAUGAAUAGACUGUCCAUCCAACCAAAGACCGGGGGCAGCAGCACACCAGCAAGACGGCAUCUGUCUUCCCCAGCCUAGAAGCCCUGUGAAAUCGAGGAUCUUCCCCCUAAAACACUCACAUACAAGAUAUGUGCAAUCAAGCUGCCACCGCUUGGUAAAAAAGCUCGUGCUGCCUAACCCAAAAGGAUCAGGAGCCGAUCCUUGAAUCCGCGGUCACUUCUAUAGAACGGGAUUUCCCCCCCCCCCCUUCCUCCUUAACCUGCGCUGGAAAUUGCCGUUGGCUUUUUACAUCUCUAUAGAGGAAGGCUAAAGAGUCGUGCGUGAGAACGAAGCAAUUUACAAUGCAAAUAGAGGCCUCAGAAGGGAUGGCUGCUGCUGCUCACUCCUAACAGCUUGCUGCACCUUAAUAGCUGGUUUUAUUUUCUGAUAUUAAUAGAUGAAUUGUUGGCUAACACUGCCGGAGAUUACUUGCUGAAAGGGGGAAAAAGUUCGGAAUAAACUCUGAAGGCCACAGAUCUCAUUUGGAUGUUUUAGCCCCACAUAUACAAACAGAAACCAGGUCAUAUUUACAUAAAAGGAGGAAUCUGAAGAAGGGCAAGUGUCCUGGAUAACUGACUACUCACGGUGGCAGCUCCGGAGUCUGGUAGGAGGAAGACAGAGGUGCAUGAGGGAAGCGAGUUGUUAUCUUUGGUUAUCUAGCUGUAUGAGUGUAUUGGUCUUCAUAAAGCUAGAUAACCGAAAGUAAAAACUCCUUCAAGGUCGCCGGGCAGCGUGAGAAUGAAAGACUACAACCAAGAGACAGUAAAAACCGGAAAGGUCAGGAAUACUUAUUGAAUCUAACUUUGUUUUUGUUUUUUGUUUUGUUUUUUGCUUUUUCCUUAUAAGAGUAAAGGUGGGAUACAAGGAAAUUAAGCGACACAAGAUGCUGAAAUUGAAAAGUGCCAGGGUUUGGGGGAGGGUUGUUAGGGCUGUAAAGAAUUGUAUAGUGCUCAGGGUAAAGAUGCAUGUACAAUGUGUUCUGUUUUAAGGCCAAAGUUUAUAUACGAGGGAUUUUUUUCUUCUUCUUAGCUGUUGUAGAGAUUUCUGACAACUGGUUUAAAAAUGAUUCCAUGAUUAUGUAGGCUUGGGCAGUUCCCCUCCGAGGCCCCUCCCCCCCAAUUUGAAGAUUGUGCUUGGAAACUACUUUAAAUGUAUUUGGGCUAAAUGUCAAAUGCUAUGAAAUUAGACUUUCAGAAAAGUUUAUCCUGGAAAGUUAAUAAUUUAUAACUAUUGAGGACUCAGCAGUAGCAGGGAAAAUGAAAAAAAAAAAAAAAAAGCAAAGGCUGAUUUUGAUUCUUCUAUUCAAAAUACAAGGACAGAUGCUUCUCUGUUCCAAGAGGGUUUCCUUGAGGAAGCUACUGAAGCAGAAAGACAUGAUGGAGACGAGAUCGCCUCCUCUCUUGUCAAAGUGUUAAAAAAAUGUUCUGUCUUACUCUGCGCCUAGCAUUGGAAAUGAAAGUGACAUUUACGCCAGAACCCACGUGGGCGCCUCCUCUCUUUUUGUUUAAGGAUGAUCAGGUCUAUCCAGGAAACAGCUCUGGCAUCCCAAACUGAAAUAAUUAGGACGUAUAUAGACCUGACAAAAAUGGAAAGGGGGUGGGGAAUCGCAGGGUCUGUCUUGCCUAAUUGAUUCCGCUAAACGGAACGAGGAGAUGUGAACGGCGGGACGCUCCGAUUCCCACGCUCGGGGGCAGGGGGUAAGGCGGCCGGCAGCCUAUGACAGACAGCCCUGUUGGAGGGUAGGGUAUGAAAAAAACAUCCAGUGCACACACCAUACUCAACUCCACCGCUUAAGAAGGUAAAGGCAUUUCCCACCCACAGACAUCUGCAGGCUCCCAAAUGGCAGCGCCAACUGGUCUGCUUGCUGCUCGCUGGUUUUUUUGUUUUUUUGUGUUUUUUUUGAACCGCUGUUUAAUCUGCUGGCCAGGAUAAAGUUUGGCUUCUGAAGUUUGGUUGAGAUUUUUCAAUAUGUAAGGAGACCUGGUAGAAAAUGAUUCCAAGAAAGUCCCAUCAUGCCCGCCCUGGGAGACAUCCUUGGUCUGGCCGGGGGCCUGGUGAACACCCUUUCUUUCGAGUUUUUGUUUUGGCUGGGGUAUACUUUCCAGUACACAGCUCGGUGCCACAGUCUCAGUUAUGACUUCAUCAGCUUGUUUACCUCUUAAUGUGACACGCAGAGGAGCGAGGCGCCCGGAAGCUAAUUGAUGCCUACUAGAAGUGAAACUGUAAAGUCAUCAGCCCAGAGAGAGUGGAUUACAGUAGCAGGGUGAGAAAAGCUCGUUUUGGAGUAGUCCCAGCUGGAUGCACUCUAAACGGCCAUUUUUGUUUAAUUUGAAAAUAACUACGCCUGGCAUACACUUUGGGGUUAUGAAGGUCCGCACUGCAACCCCUGAAAGUCUUUACAUUGGGCCACAUCACCAAGCCAACAUUUGUAUGGGCAUUGACACAUAAAUACAACCACUGCGAUGAGAAAAUGACUGGAACAGCCUACGACCAUCCACAGGGCCUAGAUUACUGACACUCCCAACUAGCCCACCACUCUUCAAAGGCAGUCCAUUUCCCUUUGUAGCUUCUACUCCUGGUAAGACUUCAGACUGGAAAAGCCAGUAAAACCACUGUUAAUUUCACUUAGAAGCUCAGAGAGACUUUAAUAAGGUAAAUUCUCUGUUUGGCUGCUGAACACGCGCCAAAGUUUUACUACCCUGGUGACCAUUGUGAAGACCCUUGUUUAUUUACAUUUGAAGCACUGUUUGUGCAAACAACCUUUCCUUGUUAAGUGCCUGUAUUUCUUUCAUUUACUUCGUGUCCAGGGGUGCUAUUUACCUAGAAGCAUUGUCUACUACAAUUACAUUUACAUUACAAAGUGUGUGGUUUUUCUUUCUCAAGGAGGUUCAAUUAAGGCAAUAAGAUGUUUGCUGGGGAAACCUAUUGUUUACUGAAAGCACUCAAUGGAGUCAAAUUACUGAAGCUUUUUGCCUACAUCUUGGUCUUUUCUGUAAAUAUGUGAAAUAUAACAUCUAAGGAAAAUAAACAAUAUUAUAAUUACGUGUUUGCCAUUGUCAUAUCAACCUUGCUUUGUAUCAUACUAAUGUUGCAUAACUUAUCAAUCAAUAAAAAUACAUUUCAAUGUUCUUUUCAUUUUAUUUUUUGCUCUUGCUGCAACAUGUCCCAGUUUUUUCUUUUUUUCUCUUUUUGAUUACACAUCAAAUUUCUGACAUUUUAUUUUAUUUGUGUGUGUUGAAGAGAGUACCGCAUCUGAGCUUGGGGGUUGGGGGGGUGCUGAGAUAAUCUCUACAAUGACCUUAUAAUAAGGUGAUAUUUCUUUGAAAUCUGAAAUAUUCCAAAGGCAUGUACCUUUAAGUCAAAAGAAGUGUAAAUAUCAGUUAAGUAGUUCUUUGAAAGCUAGUUUUUAACAUUGGCAGGAACCGGAUCAAGUUUAUUUAGCAUACCACUGCAUUGUAAAGCAGUUGGAGUGAAGUUGCAGGUUGCGUGAGUAGGCAUGUUAACUAGUGGGAACGGAGCGCAGUCUUUGUGAAGGGAGCAGCAGAUUGCCGUGCAAGGCCAAUGUUAAAAAGGCAGCUGAAUUUAACACCAUCUGGAAGAAAAGAUCCCUUCACGACUUUCUCACACCGUCAGACAAAACUAGUGUCUCUUGUUCCUAGCCCUUGUCUAUGCAACCAUACAAUACUGAGUCAUUAUACUUUUGCUGAGAGAAAAUUUGAGAACACAAUAUGGGUAACCAGUGAAUGACCAAGUUUCAUUGUGCCCGCUUAAGUCGAUUGAAAUCUACGUCUAGAGCUAUGAAUGGUAGUAUUGUUUUCCUCACCAGGGCUGUACUAAAUGUCAGCACAGUGUAAAGAAAAACUUGAAGUCUGCAAAUAACUUACCAGAUCUCAAUUAUAAUAUUUUCCCACACUAGAACUAAUAUCAUUGCGAGGGGGCUACAUUGCCGAAAAUACAACAACAACAAAAAGCAACAAAAAGAAAUAAGGGAGUUCAUUAGAAGUUAUUUUAUCCAGACAAGCAUUUUAAUUUUCUGAUGGGAACGUCAAUGCAGGCUGCAGGCUGCAGGCUCAGUGGAGGACUGGGAUUCAUUACUUGGAAGUUCAAGUUACAAAAAAUGCACCUUGUGCAAUUAAAAUAGAAUAAAACAAACACCUACUUCUACCUGAAACCGUCUCUUAUUAAAUAUCUACGGUCUCCACUUGAGUUUUAUCGCUGAAGUUCUGCUUAGAGUUGUUGGUAGGGAUCUAGCUUAAAUUUGCUUUCAAUUUGGGCACACUGCUCUCUCAAAGUUUGGCACUGUGAUUGAUCGACAUUGGAAAAGAACACCAUAGGCGUACGUUUCCAAAAAUACACAAGAGCCUUCUGGCACCUCCCUGGGUAGAUUCUAGUGCCCUGAGAAAUAUGCUUCCCCUUUUAUGUUCCACCCCUCCAUUUCCUUUCUUUUCCCUCUCAUCAUGUGUAUAAAUCAGUUAUCUUUAGGGUUAACAUUCUAUUUGACUGUAAACAGUCAGAAAAAGGAAACAAAACAGUUCAAGAAGAGGAAAAGGAGUUGGUUGUGUAUGUUUUAUUAGGAUGUCUAUUUUAAAUAUAAUUGACUUUGCAAUUUUGUUAUCGUGUCACCAAGUGUCGCAUAGUUCUUAACAUGUAAGUGCAAAACAAUGAGUAAUUGCUGUUUUGCUGAAUAAUACAUUUGAGUUGCCAACGUCAAAGGUAUUAUUUUGUGUAUUUCUAAACUGGAACGUUAACUGCAGGUUUUGACAUCUAGAAUCUUUUCUUGAAGUACUCAUAAAAAGGAUGAUAAAAAUGAUACACUUAAAAGUAAACAUAAAGCUUUAACCAACUUAUUUUCCUUGUCCUACUUUGUGAUACUAGAAAAUUAAUAGUGAAAAGUCACAAUAAUCAAAUUUUAAGGAAUACACCUUAAGCACAGAAAAAAUUCAAAAGAAAAAAAAAGUAAUUGGAGAGGUUAAAAAAAUACACAAGAAGACUUCUGCAACAUCUUUGCAGAAUGUGAAUGGGCAUAUUUACCAGACUGUCCCCUGCUCGUUACCCCUAAUAUGCAUAAUAAUGAGAUAAAUGCAUUAUUUAUAUUCAAAAUGGAAUAUUUUCCAAAGUGGCUUUUCUUUAAGUCUUCUUAAACACUAAAAUUUGUGCUAUUGGUGCUCUCUGUGUCUAUUUUAAAAUUAAAAUGAUUUUAUUUGGAAAGAUAUGAAAUUCGAAUCUGAUUUUGUGUAGUUUUAUGAAAAUUAAGCAACCAUUUAAAUAGUAAGAGAUAAGGAUGAGUGAAUUUCAAGUUCAGAAACACUCUUCCAAUUCACAGACUAUACGUAAACACUUGAAGAUAUUUUAAGAAUUUGGGCUUUUUAAAAAUGGAGAAAUGAACCCAAAGGAUUGAUUUUCCACUGUGGCUAGAAUAUGCAUGAAAGUGCAUGUAACUAUCUAGGUUUUAUCCCCAGUAGUUCUCUACCCCUCUGGAACUAUCACUGUGGCUUAAGAUACCCUUGUCCCACUUUCCCUUUCUGUGACUUACCUUUAACCUCCCUUUGCUAGAGUAAGUACAGUACCGCAUCAUCUCUCGCAUUGGGGCGGAUGCUGAGGGUGGUGGUGAGCUCAGCGACUAGGACAAGGUGUCCCUUUAGAUUAAGAACUAAUUGGAAUCAAAGUUCCUGAGUAAAAGCUAUCUGUAGUACGGGUCAAUCGUUCUACCAUUGUGCUUGCAGACAGUAGUGGGCAUGUCAGGCAGUUUUUCAGUGUCUCUGGGUUUUAAUGGAUGGCUUUGUUACCCAGUUUUUUCUGUUCUGGGUUGCUUAGCACAAGUCACAGAAGCUGGUACAGGAGCGAGCAGAAACCCCCGCUCCCGUUUGCUUCCGGAGCCCAUCUCCCCGCGGGCUCGCUCGGCUUUGGCGGAACUGAUUCUGGGCGCCGAGUGGCGGUGGGGUGCCGAGGCGGGCGGGCGCGGGCCCCCGGGAGGUAGGGCCUGCGCUUUCCGCUCUGCACCCCGCGGCCGGGCCACGGGGGGCAGAGCUUUUAAAAACUGCCGGGAGGAUCGACUCGAUUCCGGGAAACAAGGGGUGUGAGCCAUAUUUAUUCCGGGAGAAGUCCGUCCCCGUGCUCGGCGGUCUGACUCGGUUUUAGCUCAGCGCCCGCACAACGCGGUCGGGAGAUCUAAAAAUAGCCGGGCGUGGGCGGACCCUGCGCCCGGCUGCGGACGCGCGGGGCC
ensembl:lncRNA